UACGGAGGAUGCAAGCGUUAUCCGGAAUGAUUGGGCGUAAAGCGUCCGCAGGUGGCGGUUCAAGUCUGCUGUCAAAGACCGGGGCUUAACUUCGGAAAGGCAGUGGAAACUGAACAGCUAGAGUAUGGUAGGGGCAGAGGGAAUUCCUGGUGUAGCGGUGAAAUGCGUAGAGAUCAGGAAGAACAUCGGUGGCGAAGGCGCUCUGCUGGACCAUAACUGACACUCAGGGACGAAAGCUAGGGGAGCGAAUGGG
rnacentral:rRNA from 1 species